CCCUGCUCAGAUUGAACGCUGGCGGCAGGCCUAACACAUGCAAGUCGAGCGGUAGAAGAAGGUGCUUGCACCUCUUGAGAGCGGCGGACGGGUGAGUAAUGCCUAGGAAUCUGCCUGGUAGUGGGGGAUAACGCUCGGAAACGGACGCUAAUACCGCAUACGUCCUACGGGAGAAAGCAGGGGACCUUCGGGCCUUGCGCUAUCAGAUGAGCCUAGGUCGGAUUAGCUAGUUGGUGGGGUAAUGGCUCACCAAGGCGACGAUCCGUAACUGGUCUGAGAGGAUGAUCAGUCACACUGGAACUGAGACACGGUCCAGACUCCUACGGGAGGCAGCAGUGGGGAAUAUUGGACAAUGGGCGAAAGCCUGAUCCAGCCAUGCCGCGUGUGUGAAGAAGGUCUUCGGAUUGUAAAGCACUUUAAGUUGGGAGGAAGGGCAUUAACCUAAUACGUUAGUGUUUUGACGUUACCGACAGAAUAAGCACCGGCUAACUCUGUGCCAGCAGCCGCGGUAAUACAGAGGGUGCAAGCGUUAAUCGGAAUUACUGGGCGUAAAGCGCGCGUAGGUGGUUCGUUAAGUUGGAUGUGAAAGCCCCGGGCUCAACCUGGGAACUGCAUUCAAAACUGUCGAGCUAGAGUAUGGUAGAGGGUGGGUGGAAUUUCCUGUGUAGCGGUGAAAUGCGUAGAUAUAGGAAGGAACACCAGUGGCGAAGGCGACCACCUGGACUGAUACUGACACUGAGGUGCGAAAGCGUGGGGAGCAAACAGGAUUAGAUACCCUGGUAGUCCACGCCGUAAACGAUGUCAACUAGCCGUUGGGAGCCUUGAGCUCUUAGUGGCGCAGCUAACGCAUUAAGUUGACCGCCUGGGGAGUACGGCCGCAAGGUUAAAUAGAAAAUGUUUGUGUGGGGG
rnacentral:rRNA from 1 species